GGAUAAGCUACUAAGAGCACACGGUGGAUGCCUUGGCGCCAAACGCCGAUGAAGGACGCGGUACACUGCGAAAAGCUCUGGUGAGGGGUGUGCACCCGGAGAGCCGGAGGUAUCCGAAUGGGGAAACCCGCGUGGGGGCAUGCCCACGCAUCGCCGGAUGAAGAGAUAGUCUGGCGAGGGGAACCCGGGGAAGUGAAACAUCUGAGUACCCGGAGGAGAAGAGAGGAUUUCCCGAGUAGUGGCGAGCGAAAGGGAAGGAGCCCAAACCGACUGGCUUGCCAGUUGGGGUUGGAGGGCAAGACGGAAGGGACGGAAGCGAAGUCGAACGGUUCUGGGAAGGCCGGCCAGAGACGGUGAGAGCCCGGUAGGCGCAAGCGGAGGUUCUGGUCUUGGCCCUGAGUACCACGGGGCACGCUAAUCCUGUGGGAAGCUGGGUGGACCAUCAUCCAAGGCUAAAUAUAAAUCAGUGACCGAUAGUGAACGAGUACCGUGAGGGAAAGGUGAAAAGAACCCCGGUGAGGGGAGUGAAAGAGAACCUGAAACCAUACGCCCACAACAGGUCGGAGGAAGGGUAACCUUCUGACGGCGUGCCUUUUGUAG
rnacentral:rRNA from 1 species